rnacentral:rRNA from 1 species
AGCGAACGUUAGCGGCAGGCCUAACACAUGCAAGUCGAGCGAGAAAGAGGACUUCGGUCCUCGAGUACAGCGGCGUACGGGUGAGUAACACGUGGGUAAUCUGCCCUUCGGUGGGGGACGAACAACCCGAAACGGGUUAGGCUAAUACCGCAUUCGCCGGCAUGACCUGUGGAUUAUGCCGGGAAAGUAGGGCCUCUACUUGUAAGCACACGCCGAAGGAGGAG